AUUGAACGCUGGCGGCAGGCCUAACACAUGCAAGUCGAGCGAGCGGCGGACGGGUGAGUAAUGUAUGGGGACUGCCCGCUAGAGGGGGAUAACUACUGGAAACGGUGGCUAAUACCGCAUACUAUCGGAUAACCCAUAUGGGAUUAGCUAGUAGGGGGGGUAAAGGCUAACUUAGGCGACGAUCUCUAGCUGGUCUGAGAGGAGGAUGAGCAACACGGGGACUGAGACACGGCCCAGACGCCUACGGAGGCAGCAGUGGGGAAUAUUGCAAAAUGGGCGAAAGCCUGAUGCAGCCAGGCCGCGGGUAUGAAGAAGGCCGUAGGGUUGUAAAGUACUUGCAGCGGGGAGGCGUUACCCGCAGAAGAAGCACCGGCUAACUCCGUGCCAGCAGCCGCGGUAAUUC
rnacentral:rRNA from 1 species